AUUUUAUUUGAUCUUCAUUUUUGGGUGAUGGAUGCUAGUACUAAAACAUGAAAAGAAAUAUUUUAAAACAAAUGAUCAUGAUAUAUCUAAAGAAAACCAAAGAGCUAAAUACUCUAAAAUAGUUUUACUCCAGCCAUAUAGUAAAUAUGUACAUAUUUAGGAGAGCUGAAGACUUCAAACACAUUGCAUCUCCUUCGGCCAAGUAUUGAAAGGCUUUCCUUUGAUGAGGAGAGAAGAUCACAGUACCACAGUACCACUUCAGGAUUGCCUCACCUGUUGAAAGUAUAAGUCAGGGUCAAGGCAUCACCAGUUGUAGCAUUGUAAUAAACUUUGAACUAUUGGAACAUGCAGAGACCAGUGAAGUCACCUUUUCUUCUAGUGCUAGAGAGAUGUAGAUAUAAAUAUUUGCUUAAAUAAUGAGGAAAAUCAUUAGCACAUCAAUAUCUUUUAAUCUGGACACUGCUACUGUAUUCACAUAUAGCAGUACAAAAGGCCACUGUCAUUUCUAUCUUUCUUCUUUCCAACAUAUUUAAUUACAUUGUUUAUACACUAUUCUUUUCAGCAGCAUCUUACUCAAUACAUGGUUGAAAAGUGUAAAUCCCAUGUCCUCUUAACUGCUGAAUCAUCUCUCCAUCCCCAAAAUCUUUUUCUCAAGACAAUCACAUAUAAAACUAAUGGGACACCUGAAAAUAAUGAAUUGCACACCCUGAAAGAUCUUUUACAAAUUGCUGUCAUUGUGACACCUUUUAAAAUCAAGUGUGAUACAGUGACAUGCAAAACAGCAGCAUGUAGGAUAGCACAGAUCACACUUCCCAAGCUGUCUUAAGAGGCAAAACCCCAAGAAUAAUCAUCUGUGAUAUAUUUGAAACAAGCCUCAUAGAGCUUCACUUGCAAACAAAAUAUAAACGUUCAAAUAAACAAUACCCAUGAAAAGAUGACAGAGAAAAUUAUACAAAACUGAAAUGAUGAAAGGGAAGCUAUGUGAAAUAAAAGAAACCUACCUGAGGACUAGCAAGUAGAAAAAUAAAUAUUUUUGUAACUAAAAAACUACUCUUAAAAUAAAACAGUUACAUAUAAUACAUCUUUAAAAUAAAAGCAGGGACAUUUCAAAGUGGAAUGACAUAAAAUAUUACCAUUUAAAAAUUUCUUCCAUACUCUCCUCAAAUCUCAUAUCUUAAGAUUAAAGAAUACAUUUUGAAAAAUAUACAAUGAAGUUUCAAGGAAUUGACUGACAAUUUUUCGUUGAGUUGCUGUUCACACAUAAUUUCUCUCAGAAGAUGCUGAAUCUAAACUCCUUUUACUGUGAAUGUUACAGACAAGUUCACAACCAGAGGCCCAGUAACUUGUUACCCAUACUCACAACCUAGAACCUUUGAUCCCCAGAAGCAGCCCUUGCUUCCAAACACAUCCUCUGUAAACAAUGAAUUGAUGCCAAACUUAAUUCCUUGGUAUGUUAAGUAGAACCAGAUCUCAGGCCAGGGAAGUGCUCCUUGUGUGUGAACCAGUUUCUAGCUCCAGUAGAAGGUAAGAAUGAGGAUGCUAUGGAGCACACUCUAUUGGGAACAUCGUUAAAGAACUAACAGAAGGACUCCAUGAAUACUGGCCAAAUCUCAAGAAACUGAACAAGUACAAAAAAAGGACUUCUUCUUUUUUUUUUUUUUUUAAAGCAGGAUCUCUAUUCUCAUGAAUCUCCCAAUGCCUGUUUUCACAUACUUAUGGCCAAGAAGAAAGUGGCAUUAACAAAACGAACAUGAAGCCCUCAAGUGAUUUUAAAUGUCCUCUUGGAAUAAUUACAAAAGAUGACCAGUGUAUAGUAUGGACAUAGCUACAGUUUAGUUAGAGUAAAGCUUGGAAACCAAUGUAUGUGUUGGGUGAUUGUCUCAGCCACAGAACUUAAGUAGAAUACCUUUUUGUGCUUACAGAACUUUAAGUGUCAUAAAUUAGUUGAGAGGAGUAUAUUACUGCAUCCAUGCUUGAUUUCAUACUUGCUUCUUUUCUUUAAAAGCAUCCAUUUACAUAUUAUCAAAACACAUUGCAGAAAUUGCCAGUAAGUCAGAAAGAAAAUGUCCUGAAAAUAUUCUCCAACAGCUAUCAUUUCUCAGCUGCCUUUUGAGAUACACUCCUAUAACGAGAAUGCCUCUCAUAGCUACUAAUAUCUGCCUUCUUAUCUUCACCACAGCAUUUCGCCAUGGCUAAUAUACAAGCCUUGUCAAUGGAGUGCUUUAUUCCUAGGAAAGCAGCAAUUAUGUAUUGUUGGGGUACACCAAACACAUGGCUCAGUAGUCCUUUCAAUUUAAGGGUCCCUUCAUUACUGGAAAAGAUUGUUUCCU
ensembl:lncRNA